CACGUAGGGUGCGAGCGUUGUCCGGAAUUAUUGGGCGUAAAGAGCUUGUAGGCGGUCUGUCGCGUCUGCUGUGAAAAUCCGGGGCUCAACCCCGGACUUGCAGUGGGUACGGGCAGACUAGAGUGUGGUAGGGGAGACUGGAAUUCCUGGUGUAGCGGUGAAAUGCGCAGAUAUCAGGAGGAACACCGAUGACGAAGGCAGGUCUCUGGGCCACUACUGACGCUGAGAAGCGAAAGCAUGGGGAGCGAACAGG
rnacentral:rRNA from 1 species